ACACACUUGCAGAACAAAGGUGAAGGUGGUUCAUCUAAUUCUAUACUUCAUGCUGCCUUUCCUUAACAGAGAAAAUGUGUUGCCUUUAUUUAACAGAAAAGAAGUGAAGGACCCAAAGCGUGUGUCACCAAGAGCUUCAACUGAGGAAUGGUGUGAAGGCAAGGAGCAAGUAAACCAUUGGAAUUUGUUUUACGAUUCAGUAAUAUUCCUGCAAUCUAAAGUCUAUAUGUAAGCUUAUAUUUGACAUAAGUAACUGAUAUCUUUAUUUUUAGGCCCUACACUGUCAUGAAAAAAGAAAGUAUUUGUUUGAACAUUUAGAAGCACAUUACUAAUACAAGUAAGAGGUUGUUAUAAUUAGAUUUAGUUACUAACUUUCUUUACCCUACGAUAGUCUCUUUGUCACCCUAUGAUCAACUCUAUUUUUAACAAUCAGUCUCUUUGUCAAACAGGUGUUAAGAAGCUUCACAUUAAUGGCAUUGACAACUUCCUGAUUGCAAAGAGCAAGAACAACUUGCAAAUGUUGAAUAUGUUGGUUUGAUUAAUUAUGCAGGCGAGACUGCAGUUCGUUAAUCUUUUUUCUCACGCUGGAGAUAACUAAGAAGGUUCCAAAGAGGAGUACAAAAUUAAAUCAGAAACUGGCAAAGAAAUAUGAAAAUGACUGAGGAUCAAGAGGCUCAAGAAGAAGCCGAUCAAGAUAAGGAGGAAAAGGAUGAUGCCCAUGACUAAUAUGGAGGAAUGUGUUAAAUGGUUAGAACAUGGAGAAGACUGUAAAAGUACUUGGGCUCUCUCCCUCUGUGAACUAGAGAACUUCAUUUUUUUACUAUUAGUUGUUGGUUCAGUUAGAAAGCAAUUGAUAAUUGUUAUACGACUUGAACGAAGUUAUACUACCCGCAGCAAA